AGCCCAGGAGCUCCACUUUUAGACUUGGCUAAAUCUAUUUAACAAUUAGGUUAUGAGCCCGAGAUUUCUAUCAGCAUAAGUCUGCGAUGGAAUGCUAGUAAAUUUAUCACGCAUAGAAAUCGAGAACGAACAAUCUAAUUGUAUUAGUAUAAAUCUACUACUGUUCAAACAUUUGUCGAAAUCUUCUCCACAGACACUUUGAUAACACGAAGAAGCAGCCGUUAUUUUGGUAGCAAGCGCACACUGCUACGCUACUUAAUAUCUAACACAGAAUAGAUAGUGAGUAGCAUAGCCAAUCAGAGAAUGAUAUUUAUGAUAGGACGCAAAUAGAUUUAUACUAAUAAUUGUUAUUACAUCAUGGGCUUGUUGUUAUCACUCGAAGGCUGGGAACUAGUCCGCCAUAUUGUCUAAACACCUUAACAUGUAGUAAAAGAGUUAAACAUUUAGUAUGGUUCGACCAAGGAACUUCUGGUCUUCUCACUUUCUUUUAGUGAAUUUUUUAUGGUGCUAACGUAAAGCUUUUCUCACAGAAAAGCAUAGCAAGUGGAUGACAGCUGACAAGGGAUACAAAAUACAGCAGAAGGUUAUGGAACAUCGUCGAAAACAAAGGAAGGAGGCUAAACUUAAUGGAAAAUCAAAAAACCACUCCACUCUACCCCAACUGCCCUUCUUGAUGCCAUGGAUAACUGGUGUGAUAACAUCAACAGUGGUUCAUCAAAUUUCAUUCUUCUUGUUGAUUCUUAAAGGCUCUCUGUCGACAUGAAUGUUUUGCAAGUGUUUGUUUUUGUUUUGAUUCUGUCACUGAAGAAAACACUAGAGAAAUCAAAAGGAUAAAUGGGCAUUAAGUGUCAUUGUCAGAGAAAACCGGGCAGCACCAAAAGAUCGAGGUUGGCUGUUUACCUUCAUAUUUUCACAGCAUGACAGCUAUCCGAAAAGAUUAACAACCAUGAUAUUUGCCAAGGUAGGCGUUCGUUUUUCUUCGA